CCUACGGGUGGCAGCAGUGGGGAAUAUUGCACAAUGGGCGCAAGCCUGAUGCAGCAACGCCGCGUGAGCGAUGAAGGCCUUCGGGUCGUAAAGCUCUGUCCUCCAGGACGAUAAUGACGGUACGUGAGGAGGACUCCCCGGCUACCUACGUGCCAGCAGCCGCGGUCAUACGUCGGGGGCUAGCGUUAUCCGGACGUCCUGGGCGUAAGGGGGGCGUAGGUGGAUUCUUAAGUCAGAGGUGAAAGGCUACGGCUCAACCGUAGUAAGCCUUUGAAACUGGGGAACUUGAGUGCAGGAGAGGAGAGUGGAAUGCGUAGUGUAGCGGUGAAAUGCGUAGAUAUUAGGAGGAACACCAGUUGCGAAGGCGGCUCUCUGGACUGUAACUGACACUGAGGCACGAAAGCGUGGGUAGCAAACAGGAGUAGAUACCCCUGUAGUC
rnacentral:rRNA from 1 species